rnacentral:rRNA from 1 species
UACCCCGGCGGGAAUUAAGCAUAUCAAUAAGCGGAGGAAAAGAAACCCACCGGGAUUACCUCAGUAACGGCGAGUGAAGCGGUAACAGCUCAAAUUUGAAAUCUGGCUCCUUCGGAGUCCGAGUUGUAAUUUGUAGAAGAUGCUUUGGGUUGUGGGCUCGGCCUAAGUUCCUUGGAACAGGACGUCAUAGAGGGUGAGAAUCCCGUAUGUGGCCAUGGCCCGCGCCUAUGUAAAGCUCUUUCGACGAGUCGAGUUGUUUGGGAAUGCAGCUCAAAAUGGGUGGUAAAUUUCAUCUAAAGCUAAAUAUGGGCCAGAGACCGAUAGCGCACAAGUAGAGUGAUCGAAAGAUGAAAAGCACUUUGGAAAGAGAGUUAAACAGUACGUGAAAUUGUUGAAAGGGAAGCGCUUGCAACCAGACUUGGGCGCUGCCGAUCACCCCGAGUUCUCUCGGGUGCACUCGACAGCGCACAGGCCAGCAUCGGUUCGGGUGGCUGGAUAAAGGCCGUAGGAAUGUAGCUCUCUUCGGGGAGUGUUAUAGCCCACGGUGCCAUGCAGCCCAGCCGGACCGAGGACCGCGCCUUCGGGCUAGGAUGCUGGCGUAAUGGUUGUAAGCGACCCGUCUUGAAACACGGGACCCAAGGA